GGAUAGUUCAGUUAGUUAGAGCGGGGUGCUGAUAACUCCCACGGUUGUGGGUUCGAUUCCCCAUAUGCGACG